rnacentral:rRNA from 1 species
ACUUAGUGGCGGACGGGUGAGUAACGCGUGGGUAACCUGCCUCACACAGGGGGAUAACAGUUGGAAACGACCGCUAAUACCGCAUAACCCGCUAGGGCCGCAUGGCCCGGACGGAAAAGAUUUAUCGGUGUGAGAUGGACCCGCGUUGGAUUAGCUAGUUGGCAGGGUAACGGCCUACCAAGGCGACGAUGCGUAGCCGACCUGAGAGGGUGACCGGCCACACUGGGACUGAGACACGGCCCAG